GAAACAGUUUUGAAACUAAAAAUUUAGCUUUGAGCUGACGUGGGGAGAGGCCCCCGUGUCCGUUCACCUCUCCGGCUCUCCCUCCCAGCCUCGCCCUCCCACCGUCCCACGUUGUUCCUCCCGACCCUCGCCGUCCCUCCCGCCGCGACCCGCCCUCCUCCUCCCGACCACGCCGCCCAGCCCGUGUACCACUCCCUCCCAGCCUCGCCCUCCCACGCCGUCCCUCCCGCCGUGACCCUUCCUCCUCCUCCCGACCUCGCCGCCUAGCCCGUGUCGCCGCCGUCGCCCGUGCCACUCUGCUGCUGCGACCACGACAAUGGGGAUGUGGAAGGUGGUGUGUGUCACCGACGCAUCAGCGUACAUCGCGUCCUGGAUCGUCAGGCUCCUCCUCGACCGUGGCUACACCGUCCGCGCCACCGUGCGAGACACAUGUGCGCAUCCCGGCCCGUCCUCCCCAAUCCCCGUGCCUUUCUUUCCCACUGAUUCCCUGUGGUAGCUAGCGGAAUUACUGUGAUGUUUUGUGAGAUUGAUUAGGUUAGACUGGGAAUUGAUUAGUUGGCAGGGGACUGCAUAACCUACCUUGGUAAAUUUGGGAUGUUAGGUUCGGUACUAUUUUGCUUCUGGAUCCACUUGCCUCCGGCAACCCAAAAUCUUGAUUGCAUCUGUAGACUGAAAAAUGCUGCUACAGAUGAACUUGGCUUGUCAGUUUAUUAAGGAGCAAUUUGUAUCCCCAUACAUAUCAGUACACCAAGUUCCAGAAGGGAGAGAAAUAGAAAAUCAACCAAACGGAUAGAAACAGAAACUAUUUUUUAGAAUGGGUCCCUAUUAUAAUCCUAACAAGGAGAAACCUUGAAGUGCAGCCUAUCCUUAGCUCCAUCCAACGCAGUCACUUGCAAUGUUUUCUUUGGGUCAGCCGAAAAGUGAAGGUAACAACAAUGACCGAAUGCCAAAGGUAAUAUUACUAAAGAAUUAUGGUAAGAAAUAGAAGACAGUAGUAUUAUUCUGUUGUAUCUCCUUGUUAGGAUUUGCAACACGUAUUCUGCAUUUGCAACUUUUAUUUGUUCUUCGUGUGGUCAUUCUAGCAUGCUUGGAUUACUCUCUGCAUACAUAGAUAUGGGAAAAUAGCUCCGAUCCAUUUUUUGGUAGCCAACGAUAGCUGGCAGAAAAUUUAUUCUGUCAGACAGGCACUUCUGGUCUCUAGAUCUAGAUUAAUUAACACACUGCACAUAAAUGAGGUUUCCAUCCGGGACUAUAGCUUAUUUCUGCACUAGCGCAUCGCCACAUGUAUAUGUAUCAAGCUUGAGUAUAAGUAUAUAUUUCCAGCAGUUCUACAUAUGUCACCACAAUAUAUAUGUUAUCUUUGGCCAUUAACUUGUAUAUGUCUGUAUUUAUACUUCUUCGAUACGGACCCUAUACUAUAUAUCUACGUUGUCAAGGGCUACGUUUGACAAUAGUUUAAUUUCCUGCCCCCAUGGAAGGAAUUCUGCUGGAGUUCGCGUGUCUAUUUCAGAUGCUGUUGCAACUGAACCAACCCAGAUGACCUGCACGCUUGUAUAAGAUUUUCAUGUCUCACUUCAUUCACUGAUGAUCACCAUCAACAUUUCAAUCUCCGCACAUAUUUGGUCACAUAUCCACGCUUGUUUGGUCACUUAACUAGCUUCUGAAUCUUGCAAACUCUCAUCUACAGAGAGGAGUCACCAAGCCAAUUGUACUCUCUAUAGGCUUCUUUCCUCUCCCCGGAAGAUAAAGGAUUGUAGCUGUCUUUUCUUAAUAGAAUGGAGAAAGAUCUGUACUGUGAGUAUUUGUGUACGUUGUUGGUCGAUGGCUCAAAUCGUCUGACCAAAUCUUUUAUUCAGCGAGAAUGGCAAGCAAAAUAUAUUUGAUCUUUUGUGUUGUGUUUUUAGACAUGUGUGGAUUCUCACAGUUCAUUUGGUUGCAUUUUUACUUGCCUUUAAACCUGAUCCCUGAUGCUGGUCGUCAAAUACUCAGCUUGUUGGCUGCAAUCUGUGUUUAUCUUGGUAUAUCCUUGAAAGUUGAUAGUACAGAACCAAAGCAUAUUAAGGCAUACUGCUAUUAUUUAUCAUUCAUGUUUCAAACACACUUGAUACUGCAUAUCUCUACAGUUUGUUUACAUGCUCAGAUGUUGAACUCGAUCUAUUCCUUGCCAUAUUUAUUUAUGAUUGACGAACCAAUAUCCAUUGACCAUGACAUCAAUGUUCCCUAGAGUAAAUGCAUCAAAAGUCGGAAGGAGUGAUCUUUGAGUAGUUCUAUUUGUUGCUGGUAGUAUACUGAAAGUUUCGUUAGUUCUCAUCUCUCUGAUGCUUUUUCUUUCAGUUCUCCACAACCUACAUUCACUUAACAAGGCACUUUUUCUUGAGAAUAAUAAAAAAUGUACUCCUUUCAGUGUUGCUAUCAUCAUAAAGUGUUGCUUGUGGACUUCCUUUUUGUAAUAUUCGUCUAAUGUUGAUGAGAAUCAACCGGUUGGUGAUGUGAAUGACCAAAUAACAUUGCUAAACACUUUGUUAAUGUAACAUACAUGACUGGUAUAGGGGAUCCACGAGAGAGAAAGCACUGGGCGCUCCUACUGAUGCUUUUGAAAGUUUUGUCCUCCUUGGUUUAGUGGAAACAAGUUAUUAUUCUACUUUAAUGAUGCCUUCUUAGAAUUUUAUAUAACUAGACAAGUGAAAAUAUGGGAUAUACAUUGUCUUUUGCACCCAUGGAUGUGUAAGUUGUAACCUCAUCAAUGCAGUUAUGCUCUGGUUUUAAAAAAAUAGUGAGCUUACAUAUGCCUGCACGCGGACUGCUGAUCCAUGUGUUCCCCUUUCUUGAGCCCAAUACACAUGCUAAUAGCAGCAUCAGGUUUUAGUGUUGCUGACUUGCUGUGUGGGGCAAACCAAAACAAGGCAGGCUUCAAAUCUAAGGAAUUUCCCUCUUGCCUAGGGCUCUUACAGUUGCUAUUAUUUGGCCAAGGUCAAGAUUCUCAUACAGAUUGUGUCCUGUAGUGUGGGUUGGUGCCUUGUUCUGUUUUCCAUCUCACUCAUCCAGCACAAUUCUGCCCCUCUAAACAAACUUUGUAUUCGCUCUGCUAUUUAGGUGUUAAAAAGGAGAACUAAAUUUAGCUGUCAAAAAAGGAGAACUGUCCUGUAUAAUUUCUUUGGUCACACAUUCAUAGUUCUUCUGUGACAUUAUUACAAUUAACCAAAUAUAUGCACCACUUUUCCCAUGUUUUUUCCCUUUUCCUGAGCUGAUGUCACUCUUUUUUCUGGAUUGCGUGAUCUCACUCUCCAAAUAUUUGGCCCUUCAUUAUGUAUCUGUCUGACUGAUGAUUUCAUCUCAUCUGUUCUCACCUAAAUGAGUUGUUGAUCAUCCACCUUCUGGUACCCAACUUCAUGGCACCAAAUAAUGGAGUGGCCGUCUAAUUUGGGAUCUACUACCUUGGAUCCAACUGGUUGAUGAGCUGAUACAGCCCACCUCAGUUGAUCUAUUCAAGAACUUCCAUUAUAGCAAAAACAAUGGAUUUAUCGAGUUUGUACAGAAAGCAAUUGAUGAUAUGGAAGGCAUCAUGAGUGAACCAGUACAAGAUGGACAUGAACCAAAGUUAGCAAAUGAAGCUGUUUCUCAGGUUGUCAAAAUCAACUACUUUUCUUCGUGUUGCAGGUGUUUGUUCGGCCUCCAAGAGUACCUCUAGAGGCACAAUAUCGUCACAGGUCCAAGAUCUUUAGAUUACCUUGAGAAUGAGAAGCAAUAAACGGCAGAACUUCGACAAGAGUUGGAUAACAUGAAGAUGGAAUCAGAAACUUUGGUAAAACAUUCUGAGGAAAUAGAGGAUUUAAAGAAGACACCAUAAGAAAUACAUGCCCUCCUUCACUAGCUGCUAAGCUUCAAUCAGGAUCAGCACAAUCCAGGGCCAUAAAGUUCCUAAGCCCCCAACAGUGAACUAUUGCAGGACGUUUCUGUUUUGAAAUUUGGUUGUUGGUUGAACUAUGUCUAAUUGUUUUAUCAAUAAUUGGUUGCUAGUUGUUUACAAGUAUGACUUAGUAGGUCCAAGUUUAUUGAUUUUUGUUACUGGUACCUCCAAGUUUUGUUGAACAUUGUUGCUUCUUGCAAGACGUAUUGUGAUCUAUGAAUUGGAACUCAUGUCUGCUAUAAUUUUGGU